UCCACAAACUGGUCAUCGACGACGUGCGCCCCGAGGACGAGGGCGACUACACCUUCAUCCCCGACGGCUACGCGCUGUCCCUCUCGGCCAAGCUCAACUUCCUGGAGAUCAAGGUUGAAUAUGUCCCCAAGCAAGAGCCCCCCAAGAUCCACCUGGACUGCUCGGGGAAGACGGCCGAGAACACCAUCGUGGUGGUGGCGGGGAACAAGCUGCGCCUGGACGUGCCCAUCACGGGGGAGCCGGCGCCCACCGUCACCUGGAAGAAGGGG